AUUGAACGCUGGCGGCAUGCCUUACACAUGCAAGUCGAACGGCAGCACGGGGGCAACCCUGGUGGCGAGUGGCGAACGGGUGAGUAAUGCAUCGGAACGUGCCCAGUAGUGGGGGAUAACCAGUCGAAAGACUGGCUAAUACCGCAUACGACCUACGGGUGAAAGCGGGGGACCGCAAGGCCUCGCGCUAUUGGAGCGGCCGAUGUCUGAUUAGCUAGUUGGCGGGGUAAAAGCCCACCAAGGCGACGAUCAGUAGCUGGUCUGAGAGGACGACCAGCCACACUGGGACUGAGACACGGCCCAGACUCCUACGGGAGGCAGCAGUGGGGAAUUUUGGACAAUGGGCGCAAGCCUGAUCCAGCCAUGCCGCGUGCGGGAAGAAGGCCUUCGGGUUGUAAACCGCUUUUGGCAGGAACGAAACGGCGCGAGCCAAUACCUCGCGCUAAUGACGGUACCUGCAGAAUAAGCACCGGCUAACUACGUGCCAGCAGCCGCAGUAAGAC
rnacentral:rRNA from 1 species